rnacentral:rRNA from 1 species
AGCGAACGUUGGCGGCACGCCUAACACAUGCAAGUCGAACGCGAAAAGCAUUCGUGCUGAGUAGAGUGGCGCAAGGGUGAGUAACACGUAAGUAAUCUGCCCUUUGGAUUGGGAUAACAUGCCGAAAGGCGUGCUAAUACCGAAUAAGACCACGACUUCUGCGGAAGUUGCGAGAAAAGACGGGGACCCGAAAGGACCUGUCACCGAAGGAUGAGCUUGCGGCCUAUCAGCUAGUUGGCGGGGUAACGGCCCACCAAGGCAAAGACGGGUAGCUGGUCUGAGAGGAUGAUCAGCCACACUGGAACUGAGACACGGUCCAGACUCCUACGGGAGGCAGCAGUGGGGAAUUUUGCACAAUGGACGAAAGCCUGAUGCAGCGACGCCGCGUGUGCGAUGAAGGCCUUUGGGUCGUAAAGCACUGUCGAACGGGACGAAAACUGAAGUGCUAACACCAUUUCAGUCUGACGGUACUGUUAAAGGAAGCACCGGCUAACU